UCCCUGCAAUUCUCUUACUUCCUUUCAAAAUGGUGGAGGCAAGGGACAGAAUAUAUGUUUAAUGUCUUUGCUUUCUUCUUCAAUUUCUCCUUAAAAUUACUUGUACCAAAGCUAUAUGAUGUUAAAUUGUAAAAUUUCCCUGUUUCUCCUCCUUUCCUCUGCAGCUGCUAAACAGUUGGCAGCCAGCUGCAGCUUAAAAGGAGAGCUUUGAUGGCAUUUGUGAUUUUCUGCUGGCAUCAUGGCCAGCUCUGCCCACAGCAGAAAUCCACAAAAUGUCUGUAUGCAAUGUGCAAAGAAUUGCCCAGUUGUGCAGUAUGGGUUAUCCCCUUCUCAAAAGGCAAGGUAAAUUUCCAUUCUUUCUAAUAGGAGGAAUGUGGCACAACUGAUGUUUAUAACUGCAAUAAACAAAAGAACCUUUCCUUUUUGGGACUAUUAUUUAAAACAAAGCAUUUUGAGGUGUAAAUCUACUGUUGCAGGUGUCCAAGAGAAUGAAUUCCACUCUCUGAACUUCACCUGUCCAUUUAGAGAUGGGCCAUGGGUAUUCCGGAUGUUGGAGCUCUCCCAUUCUGACUUUCACGCUAACACUGAUGAGAGAAGACAUCCAGGGUGGAGUUUCUGAAGACUCUUCUUCAUCAGGCUUCAUCAGGCAUGGAUGAUGACGGAGAGAAAUUACUGAGGGUGUUUCCAUUGCUGCAGAGCUAGCAGAAAUGCCUCAUAUGGUUUAAACAUCUGGGCUUUCGGAGCCGUUCCAUGCCUGCUCGCCUUGUUAGAGGGUUUGGUGCUGGAGCCUCCGACUGAAUGCCAGAAUCCUUCCCUUUGUGCUCCUCAGUGACGUACACAAGAACUUUGAGGUGGUGUAAGAACAGAAGGAUUCGUGGCUAAUAAAUACUUCAUCUAAAUGGAAGCACAAGCUCUCCUACAAUAAUAAGGAAAUUGAUUUUGGCAUCCACAUUACUUCUGCCUAUUCCACACUGGAUCUCUUCAAAUGACUACUGCCACUAAUGCUCUUGUAAUUCACAAACUGAUGUAUGUUGCUCUCUGGAACCCCAUUGCCCCCAGUUCCCUCGUGGUUUUUCUACUGAAAAUCCUGUAUCCGUCUUCACCAAGCAUCCAGUGAAAGUCAAGACACUUGAGGACCAUUUAAGAGGAAUGGUGAAAAUCUGAAGUGCAGUGGAACAAGAUGGUGACUGCAGUAGGUGGAGGAUUUGUGGGAAGCUGCUGAAGAACUUCCACGUGAAAAAUGAAAGGAAGGUCCUAGUGUCAGCAUCAGUUGACACGGUUUCACAGCAAACAGCUUUUAAUAUCUUGUUUUGAAUAAAUUGAGGUAAGUUUGGUUCUUAAUGACAAUGGCACUUGUUUUUUCAUUUGGCAUUCUGGUUAAGACAUGAAAAGUUGGUAAUAUAGCAUAGACUAAAACCCCAUCAUGGUAGCUCACAUUUUAACCAUUUCUGGCAGCUGUCAGAGGACAGGUGGGUCCUGUCUGAUGUAUCAAUGCAGAAAGAGAGAGAAUACUUAAUUUUUAUGUGGGAUGGUUAUUCACCGAAUUAUGCAACAUUGCAGCAAUAUAACAGAGGAGAUAAUGACUGAGAGAAGGAGGUGACAAUCCUGUGAGCAGGAUCAGAGGAUGGCUCUCCUGAGACGUUUGGUUUCUGCCUUUCUUUCUCUCGACAAAAAAACAUUAGUAUGGCUAGCAACUAUUGUCAUAGUUUGUCCACUGCUGCAAUUUACGGCAAGUUUUUUUUAGGACUUAAUUGUGGGAAGUCCUGCAGCCUGUGAGAGGGUCAGGCUAGAUGGUUCCUUACAAUCUGUGAAGUGACAAAGGAAGAAAAAACCAUCCAAACCAGGAAACCCGUGGUGGGGAGAGAACUACCCAGGUUUGAAAAUACUGCUGCAGAUGUCACAACUCACAGACCAUUUGGAGAGUUUUAUGCUAAUGUAAUCCAUCUCCUUAAAAAUGACACAUCUGUUUCCACUUUCUGUUUCUUAUAUUAUCUUUGUAACAUCACUGUAGACUCCAUCUGGAACUGAAAUUCUCUUUAAUUUUUUUAAAGCAGUGUUCCUGAUAGAAUCUGGCAUUGCAAUGAUUUAAAGGCAAGGAUAAGCUUGGAAAAUGGAACAUUUUCUGUUUCCUGCCCAUGUAACUAUGGUCCUUCCCUCUCUGCAGGCACACAUGGUAAAGAUAUACAGAAAUAUGAAUGCAUUUACACUGCAUGUAUACUGUGAAGGGAAAACCAACACAGUUAGACUGAGAAGACAGAUCCUUGCUUUUGUAUUGAUAAUAUUGUACUAAUCCUAAAGACAAAUUAAAAUGUGUAAUUGGAGGAGUGUUUUAAAUAUUAAAAGGCGUGAUUCCUAAUUUCUUAGUAUUAGUAAUCUUUGUACAGUUCCCUCUUCUUAUUACUUAUGUUUUAAAAUCUCCCUUGGCUUUGUAGUCAAUCCAGGCUGCUGGGGCUUGUUCUUGUCUUACUGCAGUUUAAAGGAAUUUUGUCACUGACUUCAGAAAGGGCCAGCUCUACUUCUCCUUUUGCUUUGCAGCCUCUUUUAAUUUCCUUUACUGUACUCAUUAGCCCAGAGGUAAUAUUCCCAAUCCUGUUAUGGAAAGAUCCUUUUUAAAUAUCAGCAUUUAACUAUUUCAGUGGAAGUGUGAAUCAUAUUUGUGUGUGUGUGUGUGUGUGUGUGUUUUGAUCAUUAAUACUGAGGGGAACUAUUAAACUGUAUCCUCAAGCUGUUUAUCUAUGCACUUAGCAGCACAAAAUAUACUUGGAAAUCUAACAAUGUUCUUGGUUAAUACAGAGUAAC